rnacentral:rRNA from 1 species
ACACAUGCAAGUCGAACGGAGAUUUGAGAGCUUGCUUUCAAAUCUUAGUGGCGGACGGGUGAGUAACGCGUGAGUAACCUGCCUCUCAGAGGGGGAUAACAUUCUGAAAAGAAUGCUAAUACCGCAUGACAUUCCUUUCUCGCAUGGGAAGGGAAUCAAAGGAGCAAUCCGCUGAGAGAUGGACUCGCGUCCGAUUAGCCAGUUGGCGGGGUAACGGCCCACCAAAGCGACGAUCGGUAGCCGGACUGAGAGGUUGAACGGCCACAUUGGGACUGAGACACGGCCCAGACUCCUACGGGAGGCAGCAGUGGGGGAUAUUGCACAAUGGGGGAAACCCUGAUGCAGCAACGCCGCGUGAAGGAAGAAGGUCUUCGGAUUGUAAACUUUUGUCCUCAGUGAAGAUAAUGACGGUAGCUGAGGAGGAAGCUCCGGCUAACUACGUGCCAGCAGCCGCGGUAAUACGUAGGGAGCGAGCGUUGUCCGGAUUUACUGGGUGUAAAGGGUGCGUAGGCGGACUGGCAAGUCAGUGGUGAAAACUAUGGGCUUAACCCAUAGACUGCCAUUGAAACUGUUGGUCUUGAGUGAAGUAGAGGUAGGCGGAAUUCCCGGUGUAGCGGUGAAAUGCGUAGAGAUCGGGAGGAGCACCAGUGGCGAAGG